rnacentral:rRNA from 1 species
CGGGUGGGUAACGCGUGAGGAACCUGCCUCAAAGAGGGGGACAACAGUUGGAAACGACUGCUAAUACCGCAUAAGCCCACGGCUCGGCAUCGAGCAGAGGGAAAAGGAGCAAUCCGCUUUGAGAUGGCCUCGCGUCCGAUUAGCUAGUUGGUGAGGUAAUGGCCCACCAAGGCGACGAUCGGUAGCCGGACUGAGAGGUUGAACGGCCACAUUGGGACUGAGACACGGCCCAG